rnacentral:rRNA from 1 species
GACGAACGCCGGCGGCGUGCCUAAUACAUGCAAGUCGAACGAACCGCGACUAAGUGCUUGCACUAAGUCAAGGUGAGUGGCGAACGGGUGAGUAACACGUGGGUAACCUACCUCAUAGUGGGGGAUAACAGUCGGAAACGACUGCUAAUACCGCAUAGGACAUAGGAUCACAUGAUCCAGUGAGGAAAGGUGGCGCAAGCUAUCGCUAAGAGAUGGACCCGCGGUGCAUUAGCUAGUUGGUAGGGUAAAGGCCUACCAAGGCGAUGAUGCAUAGCCGACCUGAGAGGGUGAUCGGCCACAUUGGGACUGAGACACGGCCCAAACUCCUACGGGAGGCAGCAGUAGGGAAUCUUCCGCAAUGGACGCAAGUCUGACGGAGCAACGCCGCGUGAGUGAAGAAGGUCUUCGGAUCGUAAAGCUCUGUUGUUAGAGAAGAACAGCGCAUAGAGUAACUGCUAUGCGUGUGACGGUAUCUAACCAGAAAGCCACGGCUAACUACGUG